AAGAUGAAAACCUUCCAUUUUCUUUUUGUUCCUCACUCUAUUAAUACCAGGCAACUCACAGGAACCAUCCCUUCCCUUAAACACACAUCCCACCCUAACUCCUCUCCCUCUACAGAUUUAUACACACAUACAAGAACCAUUCCAAAUACACAGAGAACUUCAACUUUAUCAUCUCUCCUAAAAGAACACUAAAUAUCGAUUCUAUCUCUCUCUAAAACAUAUACACACACAGACACAUAAAACCCCUCAAUCACCUUCAUCUUCUCUAGCAAAUCAAACACACAGAGCCCCACACCUAACUCUCCUCUCUUCCUCUUUGUGACCGACAGCCGGAAGUCCGGCGAGCCGUGGAGCACCGGCGGAGCCGACUGCCGACGGUGGUGGGUUCCAGCCGGCCACGCCUCCCCUUCUUCUUCGUGUGGCUGACAACAGCCCCCCCCCCUCUCGAUUACCGGCAGGCCACCACCAUUUCGGUGGUGGCGGACUUGAGCUCCAACAGCCCCACCACCACAGGCGGUGGCGCUGUGGUGGGUGGUGCCAGACGACGAAGAAAGAAAGAACAGAAGAGAGAGAGACCGGGAUGAGGAGAGAGAGAAAAGGAGAGACGAGAUAGAGAGAGAGUAAAGUGGCGGAGUGGUGGGUUUUCGCGGCAGUCGUGGUGAUGUCCGACGACAGCAACAUCGGCGGCGGAAGUGACGUCCGUCCGGUCAUCGGAGACGGCUUCCAGUGGCUGUCCGUUACAAACCCACGAGAGCCCACUCAAAUCGGUUCUCUUGGUGGUGGUUCGGUAAGAGUUCCGACGGCGGUGGGUUCGGAGGUUGGGUGGUGACUGCACGGCAGUGGUGGUAUUGUUUUGGUUCGGAUCAUGUUAUAGUUCGGGUCUUAUUUCGGAUGUUUUGGGUGGCAAAGCUGGUCAAACACACAGUUUCGGUUCGGGCCAACGACUUGGGUCAACGGUCAAAAGCGGUCAACUGCGAGCCAACUGCCGGUCAACAGCAGUCAACGUCGGUCAAAGCCUGACCCGGUAACGAGAUUUAAAAUACGCGAAUUUUUGUUAUCACGUUAUAUUUUUGUAUCGCGAACCAAGCUCGACCCGAAUAACUUCUAUUUUAUCUUUGACGUUUAAAUACAUUUGACACAAAGUUUAUAUAUAAUGUUUGUUGAAUUAUUGAA